GUGCAGCACAUCCAAUGGUGCGAUAUGUGGAAGUACAACUCUUCAUGGAGAUUAACCAGGAAUCCAGGAUUCAUACGUGAUUUUGAAAUUGUCUGUUUUUCUUCUCUUCAUAGUUACUUCAUUAUUUGUGUAAAUAUGUUUGCUGGGGAUCUGUAUACGUAAUGUAUAUAUAACUAUAUAUUGUUGGAUAUCUGUAUAUGUAAUAUGUAUGUAAUCGCAUAUGCAUACCGAGCAAAACCAAGAAAAGGAUCGAAGCCAAGAAGAGGAUCCAUGAAUUUCUGCUCCCAGUUUUGUUUAUUGGGUUGGACCGAGGAACAUAAUAACCUCUGAACUACAAGUAAGCUCAGGACCUCUGGUUACUAGACACACAAAGGGCAGAGUUUCGUCUAUAGAGGCAAGGAAGCUAGAGGCGAUUAAUACUGGAAUAUGUGUAAUUACAUAUCGGCAACAAAGCCGAGGGAAGAUCUAUCGGCCUCUACUGCCAGGCUUGACCAGAAGCCAUUGGUUUUUGCAGGUUCAGCUUCAUUAAAUUACAGAAAGUUGAAGGGAAAGAGCUUCUCUUUGAAGUGUUGCUGCAAGCAACCAAGAGAGGGAGUGACAGGUGCUUUUUAGGUGAAUUCUCUUACCGCUUAAUGCGGGGAUUACUACGCUUGACGUGGGGUGUAGGGAUAAGCAAGUAGGGAUUGUGUCUCCCUUGGGUGAAAGGCCCUAAAUCUGAUUGGGGCUCGUGGUGUAUGAGCGGAUAAUUAAGUAGGGAUUGUGCCUUCCUAGGGUGAAAAGCCCAGAACCCAAUCAGGAUGCCGCGGUGUGCGGCGGAUUACCGCUGUGAGCGGGGUUUACGGCCUAGUGCCGGGUUUUACCGCGGAUUGCGGGGUUUACCACCAAGUGUGGGGUUUACGGCCAAGUGCCGGGUUUUACUGUUAGAGUGCAGGGUUACCACCGAGUGUGGAGUUUACUGUUGCGUACGGAGAUUUACGGCUGAGUACCGAUGAUAUGGCUGUAUGUGGGAGAUCUGUUGCGUACGGAGAUUUACGGCUGAGUACCGAUGAUAUCGCUGUAUGUGGGAGAUCUGUUGCGGAGAUUUACGGCUGAGAGCCGGGGAUUACCAAUGUGUGCGGUGAAUUAUUGAUGUGUGCAGUGGAUUUCCACAUGUGCAGGUAUUGUCAUUACGGUUUUAUGCAAGUGUUAUUUUUUUUUUUGUAACGUGUUCUUGAUGAAAUCUAGAAAUUAAACCCAAAAAGGACACCUAACGAAGAAAAAGAAGAAUGGAAAGAAAUGAAACUAAAAUUUGUGACAAUGGUCUAUUUGAUUGGUAAGACCAUGAAUAUGGUCAGUUCUCAGUGGAACUAUGGAUGCUAAGACUAGGUACGGUAUUCGUCCAAAAAAAAGACUAGGUACGGUCUAGCUGUCUUACAUAUGCAUGGUUUUCAAUUCAGUUUGCUCAAGUCACUGAGCAGGUGCUGGAAAGUUGCUCAGGUUUGAUAGACAUAUACGGUGAUGAAUCAAUAAGUGAAAACAAAGAUUUUGAUGAUUUUGAUGUUUAACGAGUUUCUAAGGAAUAGAGUGAACUAAUGGUGGAUGAAUGUUGCAAAAGGAUAAUCUAUGCCUUCAGUGUUAAUUUGAUGAUCCACAUUGCUUUUAUUAUGAGGAUUCUCCAAAUUUUCUAAUUAAAUCUGACCAUUCAUGUCAGAAAGCGGUAAGAAUAAAAGGAACCAGAGUAUGAAUGGCAUUAUUACAUUUUUGUGCAAUGUGGUAAUUUUAGUCACAAAGGAUUGACUAAUUAGGCAAAUGAACAAAUGCUUAAAUCUGGAUUACACUGACAAUACCAGAUCAAACUUCCAAAGUAUAUGUCAUAGAUUGUGUUAGGUCUCA